CAUUUGAUGCACAAUAUUGAUGCAUUGUGAUUAAGUCCAGAAACCGACAUAUUUGAAAUAUACUACCUCAUUGUUAGCCUUUGGAAAAAAAAACGUAUGGAUUUUCUUGGGACUUUGAAAAAAUCCUGUGGAUUUUUCCUUGGGACUUACAUUGGAUGUAUUGAAAUAUGAUAUGUUGAUGAUAUGUUGGUAUGUGAUAUUGUUGGCACAAAGGAGAAUAGAAUGAGUGACUAAAAGUUUGUUUUGAGUUUUGAAUGAAUGACUGAAGUUGGUUUUCCAAAAGAAAACGAAAGACUCCCUUCCCUUCCUACCCUUUGGCAUCUUGGCAUUUCUGCUCACAGAAAACCUCGGACAGGGAAGGAACCAAGACGUGUAGUCGCUCCUGCCGCAUAGAAAUAAAAUGCUGAGCAAAAUUUCUAAGUCCACGUCUUCUGCCGCAUAGAAAAUAAAAUGCUGAGCAAAAUUCCUAAGUCCACGUCUUCAGAGAUCUGUCCAAUAUAUACUCUAAGGGGUCGAAUCAUUUCUCUCAUGGCUCUUCGGUGUGAUGAGUUAAGUACUAGUAACAAGUCAAUGUUCCGUAGGUGAACCUGCGGAAGGAUCAUUACCGAGUUAGGGUUCUCUCCUGAGGCCCGACCUCCCAACCCUGUGUCUAACAAACCUGUGUGUGUUGCUUCGGUGGACCGGCAGUCCCCUCACGGGGGUCCGUCGCCGGGGGGAGAAACGGCCUCACGGCCCGCCCCUGGAGAGUGUCCGCCGAUGGCCCAACCAACAUAACAACUCCCAAACCCAAAAUAUUGUACGUAAAACUUCUGAAUCAGACCUUUUUUGAUGGACCAAAUCAAAAAUAAAACUUUCAACAACGGAUCUCUUGGUUCUGGCAUCGAUGAAGAACGCAGCGAAAUGCGAUAAGUAAUGCGAAUUGCAGAAUUUCCGUGAGUCAUCGAAUCUUUGAACGCACAUUGCGCCCUUUGGCAUUCCGAAGGGCAUGCCUGUUCGAGCGUCAUUAUCCUCUCUCAAACCUCGGGUUUGGUGUUGGACCGCGUUGGACCUGCCCAUGGCCAACUGGUCUCAAAGACAAUGACGGCGUCCCCGGGACCCUCUUCGCACUGAGCUUUUUGGAAGCACGCGUCGAGUUUCACGGGCCCAGGGACCCGGUCACCCCUAAAAACUUUUCAAGGUUGACCUCGGAUCAGGUAGGAAUACCCGCUGAACUUAAGCAUAUCAAUAAGCGGAGGAAAAGAAACCAACAGGGAUUGCCUCAGUAACGGCGAGUGAAGCGGCAACAGCUCAAAUUUGAAAUCUGGCCUCACGGUCCGAGUUGUAAUUUGUAGAGGAUGUUUUGGGCACCGCUCCGGGUUAAAUUUCUUGGAACAGAAUGUCAAAGAGGGUGAGAGUCCCGUCUUGGCCCGCGGUAGGACCUAUGUAAAACUCCUUCGACGAGUCGACUUGUUUGGGAAUGCAGGUCAAAAUGGGUGGUAAAUUUCAUCUAAAGCUAAAUAUUGGCCAGAGACCGAUAGCGCACAAGUAGAGUGAUCGAAAGAUGAAAAGCACUUUGAAAAGAGAGUUAAACAGUAUGUGAAAUUGUUGAAAGGGAAGCGCUGGCGACCAGACUCGAGCGCGGUGUUCCCCCUGGCUUCUGCCUGGGUUACUUCACCGUGACCGGGCCAUCAUCAGUUUUGGGGGUUGGUUAAAGAUUUGGGGAAUGUAUCCUCUCCUUCGGGGGAGGACUUAUAGCCCUGGAUGUCAUGCAGCCUCCCGGGACUGAGGAACGCGCUUCGGCGAGGAUGAUGGCGUAAUGGUUGUCAGCGACCCGUCUUGAAACACGGACCAAGGAGUCUAACAUCUAUGCGAGUGUUCGGGUGUCAAACCCUUGCGCGGAAUGAAAGUGAACGGAGGUAGGAAGGCUUGAGCCUGCACUAUCGACCGAUCCUGAUGUCUUCGGAUGGAUUUGAGUAAGAGCAUAGCUGUUGGGACCCGAAAGAUGGUGAACUAUGCGUGAAUAGGGUGAAGCCAGAGGAAACUCUGGUGGAGGCUCGCAGCGGUUCUGACGUGCAAAUCGAUCGUCAAAUUUGCGUAUAGGGCGAAAGACUAAUCGAACCAU
rnacentral:rRNA from 1 species